rnacentral:sRNA from 1 species
UGCAUCUGCAGCCCAUGAGGAUGAGAACCUCCGGGGGCAGGGAGGUUCGACUCGAGCGAAGCGAGAGAACGUUGCGCCAGCAACGGCCCGCAGGGCGAGCCACGAAGUGGCG